rnacentral:rRNA from 1 species
CAGCCGCCGCGGUAAUACGUAGGUGGCAAGCGUUGUCCGGAAUUAUUGGGCGUAAAGCGCGCGCAGGUGGUUUAAUAAGUCUGAUGUGAAAGCCCACGGCUCAACCGUGGAGGGUCAUUGGAAACUGUUAAACUUGAGUGCGGGAGAGAAAAGUGGAAUUCCUAGUGUAGCGGUGAAAUGCGUAGAGAUUAGGAGGAACACCAGUGGCGAUGGCGGCUUUUUGGCCUGUAACUGACACUGAGGCGCGAAAGCGUGGGGAGCAAACAGGAUUAGAUACCCCGGUAGUCCCUGUCUCUUAUAC